GACGAACGCUGGCGGCGUGCUUAACACAUGCAAGUCGAGCGGUAAGGCCCUUUCGGGGGUACGACGAGCGGCGAACGGGUAGGAGUAACAACGUGGGUGGACCUCGCCUCCUAGCUCUGGGAGUAAGACCCGGGGAAACCGUAGGGUCGUAAUAACUGGAGUAUGACUCCAUGACGCAUGUUGUGGGGUGGGAAAGCCUUGUGCGGCUAGGGAGUGGGCCCGGCCGGCCUAUCAGCUUGUUGGUGGGGUGGAUGGCC
rnacentral:rRNA from 1 species